rnacentral:rRNA from 1 species
GAGUUUGAUUCUGGCUCAGAACGAACGCUGGUGGCGUGUCUUAUACAUGCAAGUCGAGCGAGGCAGCAAUGCCGAGCGGCGAACGGGUGAGUAACGCGUAAGCAAUCUGCCCCAUAUCAGGAAAUACCCGUGCCAACGCGCGGUUAAUGUCCAGGAGAGUGGCCCUCUGCAUGGAGGGUUGACUAGAGAUUUAUCGGUAUGGGAUGAGCUUGCGUCCGAUUAGCUAGUUGGCGGGGCAACGGCCCACCAAGGCGACGAUCGGUAGCCGGCCUGAGAGGGUGAUCGGCCACAUUGGGACUGAGAUACGGCCCAGACUCCUACGAGAGGCAGCAGUAGGGAAUAUUGCACAAUGGGGGAAACCCUGAUGCAGCAACGCCACGUGUGGGAAGAAGCAUUUCGGUGUGUAAACCACUGUCAUGAGGGAAUAAGGCCCGCCUUCGGGCGGGAUUGAAUGUACCUUGAGAGGAAGCACCGGCAAACUUCGUGCCAGCAGCGGC